rnacentral:miRNA from 1 species
CAUCUUACUGGGCAGCGUUGGA